GGAGGGUGCAAGCGUUGUUCGGAAUUACUGGGCGUAAAGAGCGUGUAGGCGGUUUGGCAAGUCAGAUGUGAAAGCCCUGGGCUCAACCCAGGAAGUGCAUUUGAAACUGCCAUACUAGAGUAUGGGAGAGGAGAGUGGAAUUCCCGGUGUAGAGGUGAAAUUCGUAGAUAUUGGGAGGAACACCCGUGGCGAAGGCGACUCUCUGGACCAAUACUGACGCUGAGACGCGAAAGCGUGGGGAGCAAACAGGAUUAGAUACCCUGGUAGUCCACGCCGUAAACGAUGAGAACUAGGUGUAGCGGGUAUUGACCCCCUGCUGUGCCGUAGCUAACGCAUUAAGUUCUCCGCCCUGGGAGUACGGUCGCAAGGCUA
rnacentral:rRNA from 1 species